AGAGUUUGAUCCUGGCUCAGGAUGAACGCUGGCGGUAUGCUUAACACAUGCAAGUCGAACGGUGCUUUAGGGCACAGUGGCGGACGGGUGAGUAACGCGUGAGAAUCUGGCUUUAGGUCUGGGACAACCACUGGAAACGGUGGCUAAUACCGGAUGUGCCGAAAGGUGAAAGGUUAACUGCCUGAAGAUGAGCUCGCGUCUGAUUAGCUAGUUGGUGUGGUAAGAGCGCACCAAGGCGACGAUCAGUAGCUGGUCUGAGAGGACGAUCAGCCACACUGGGACUGAGACACGGCCCAGACUCCUACGGGAGGCAGCAGUGGGGAAUUUUCCGCAAUGGGCGAAAGCCUGACGGAGCAAUACCGCGUGAGGGAGGAAGGCUCUUGGGUCGUAAACCUCUUUUCUCAGGGAAGAACACAAUGACGGUACCUGAGGAAUAAGCAUCGGCUAACUCCGUGCCAGCAGCCGCGGUAAUACGGAGGAUGCAAGCGUUAUCCGGAAUGAUUGGGCGUAAAGCGUCCGCAGGUGGCUGUGUAAGUCUGCUGUUAAAGAGUCUAGCCCAACUAGAUAAGAGCAGUGGAAACUACACGGCUAGAGUACGUUCGGGGCAGAGGGAAUUCCUGGUGUAGCGGUGAAAUGCGUAGAGAUCAGGAAGAACACCAGUGGCGAAGGCGCUCUGCUAGGCCGUAACUGACACUGAGGGACGAAAGCUAGGGGAGCGAAUGGGAUUAGAUACCCCAGUAGUCCUAGCCGUAAACGAUGGAUACUAGGCGUGGCUUGUAUCGACCCGAGCCGUGCCGUAGCUAACGCGUUAAGUAUCCCGCCUGGGGAGUACGCCGGCAACGGUGAAACUCAAAGGAAUUGACGGGGGCCCGCACAAGCGGUGGAGUAUGUGGUUUAAUUCGAUGCAACGCGAAGAACCUUACCAAGGCUUGACAUGUCGCGAAUUCUGGUGAAAGCCGGGAGUGCCUUCGGGAGCGCGAACACAGGUGGUGCAUGGCUGUCGUCAGCUCGUGUCGUGAGAUGUUGGGUUAAGUCCCGCAACGAGCGCAACCCUCGUUUUUAGUUGCCAGCAUUAAGUUGGGCACUCUAGAGAGACUGCCGGUGACAAACCGGAGGAAGGUGGGGAUGACGUCAAGUCAGCAUGCCCCUUACGCCUUGGGCUACACACGUACUACAAUGCUCCGGACAGAGGGCAGCAAGCAUGCGAAUGCAAGCAAAUCCCGUAAACCGGAGCUCAGUUCAGAUCGCAGGCUGCAACUCGCCUGCGUGAAGGAGGAAUCGCUAGUAAUUGCAGGUCAGCAUACUGCAGUGAAUUCGUUCCCGGGCCUUGUACACACCGCCCGUCACACCAUGGAAGCUGGUAGUGCCCGAAGUCAUUACUCCAACCUUUCGGGGAGGAGGAUGCCUAAGGCAGGACUGGUGACUGGGGUGAAGUCGUAACAAGGUAGCCGUACCGGAAGGUGUGGCUGGAUCACCUCCUUUUUAGGGAGACCUACACCCCUUACAUAUCGAAAAACACACAGUUAAAUAGAUAGUAAGUUGGUCUAACCUAGGUCGGUCGAGAAUUGUUAUAAAGCUUUCAAAGUAUUAAUGGUUCAGAAGAUCAAAUAAUAAUAAAAUAGAUUGAGAGUUCAGCAACAUGACUUAACAGAAGUCAGACUGCUGAGUAAGUUCUCAGCCAGAACCUUGAAAACUGCAUAGUAACGCGAAAAUAGCAGGCAGACACAGAGAAUCUUUACAGAUGUUUUUGUGAAUGCAAGUCAUAAAAAGACCAAAUAUCUGAGUGGUCAAGCUAAUAAGGGCUAACGGUGGAUACCUAGGCACACAGAGGCGAAG
rnacentral:rRNA from 1 species